rnacentral:misc_RNA from 1 species
CAGUCUCAAGAACCAGAAGCCAAACUGAAAUUUCAUUUGAUUUGGUUCCUGUUCUCACUACCUUCAGUUCUGGUUCCUGAAAAUCCCCAAAACAGAACAGACCAGAACCGUGCACAACAUUGUGAUAACAUGCUUGUCAAAAUGCAAAAGAUGCUAAAUUGAUGGAAUUAUGAGCCAUGUCAUAUUUCUAGAAUUAGCAUGUAAUUG